UCUACAAUAUGGAGGUGCGACCUUUUUCAUUUUUCUUUUCAACUCUUUAUUGAUAUUGAGCAGCAUUAGAUAGUUUCAUUCAAGAUACAAACAAACACAAUAGUAGUAGGAAAAAAAUGACAUAAAUUUCAUGAAUUAGCUUGUUUGAUAUUUUUAUCUCAAUGUAAUUAUGUGUGCUGAUACCAAAAAAGAUUCUUGAUCAAAGGAAAGUCCCUGAAUUAACUAGAGAAAAUGUCGCCAGCCAUUUGCAGGUUUACUUCUGAAUACAUAUAUUUAACUAUAAUUGGUAUCAUGGCUUUCACAUAUUAAAUAGGUUAAGUUAUGUUUGAUUUCUGUAUUACUUGGUUUGAACUAGUCCAUGUAGGUGAAGUAAUGUUUGACUUCUGUAUUACUUGGUUUGAACUAGUGCAUAAUUUCAUAAAAUAGGAGAACAUAGAUUUCCGUAUUUUGUCUUACUUCAAUUAUUAAGUUAUUCAUGACUAUCUAUAUGGAUAUCAACCGCCCAUCAGCUUUGAUCAUUAGAACCUCACUUUGUUUGAUUCUUAUAUUAUGAUAAUGUAACACUCUUUUACACCAGUCAUACCAACCGCUUCUUAUUACGGUACAUUACUUUUUUUUGUUCAGUUACCAUCAGUUAAUUUUAAAGUUGAAAAACUUUUUACAGUAUAUUAGCUCUUAUAAUUUGUAAAGUUCACUCGUAAUAGUGAUUUUUAGUCUAUGUUGCUCGUGUGAUGAUACAAAUGUCAUUAAUGUUAUAAUACUAUAUGAACUCUUAUGAAUAAGAAGAUGAUAAACAUUAGUAAAAAAUAUGAAAAGAAGAGUAGGUCCUCACCCGAAAUUAACUUGAUGGUGAACAGAUUUUGCAUCAAUGAACGAAAGUGAGAAACUCAGCCUCUUAUUUGGUUAGUAUAUCUUUUUCCCUUUCUUGGGUUAUCUCUCUGUCUAAAGGUUAACAAUAAAGAUAGAAAUGUGAAUUUGAUGAAGAUAUGCAGUCGAUAGUAACAGAAGAGCUCUUUCAAGAUUUUGGGAGAAGUGACAGGAGAAUAAAGGAAGGAGCUUAAAACGUACUGGCGGUAUAAAAAAAUUUACACAAUCGGGUCACUUGUAAGAUCAUUACAAUAAGAUUGUAUGAUAAUUAUUAAAUGGUGAUCUGCUAAAAAUGGUUGUACUUGCUAUCACAGCUUAAACUAUACUGAUAACGUAAAAAUUAUUUUACACUAGAAUAUAGUGAAUUCCAUCCAUUUUCUAUUUCCUACGAUGCUUAUAUUAUCUUUCUGAUUUUUGUUGUUGUCAUAGAUUCUAUUGUCUAUUUUCUUCUUCUUGAGCCGAGGAUUUUUUGGAAACAACCUUUCUAUCCCUCCGGGAUAGGGGUAACAUCUGCAUACAUUCUACCCUCCCUAGACCCCACUUAUGGGACUUUAUUGGGUUGUUAUUGUUGUUGUAUUGUUGUAAUUAUGUGUGCUAAUUUAUUUUGCCUGCUUUUAAUAAUUUUAUUUUUAGAAAUUUGUCUCUUAAUUGUUGUUGUUUUUAACCCUUUUUGUUUAUAUCUUUUAUUGAUUCCCCUUAUGUUCAAAAUCAUCCAAGUCAUUUAUUAAGAGGAUCCUCCACCAUGAUUUGGUGGUUUUGUAUUCUCAAUUACAUGUUCCGCAAUUUGUAAAUCCUCUCUGUAUCUGUUUCUGAUUUGUUCAUCUUUAGUGAUAGUUUUCCCUAUCAUGUUCUUGACUUUGCUUCACUGGCUGAUGUUGUUGGUUUAAUUCACUUGUAGUUGAAAUAUCACCCUGUUCAACUCUUCUUGGUCUUCUCCUUCUUCGUUGUUGGCCAAACUAUCUGUUCUUGUCCUGCUCAUUCACUUUUUGCACAGUUAUGCCCUAUGCUUAUACAUUUAGUAUUAUUAGCUUUCUCUUUCACCAUGUUUGGAACUUUUUAAUAAAGGUUAUUUGAAUUCCAGAAAAAUUUAUGUCUUAUGCUUUAGAUUUAUAAUCGCCAUGUUUUAUUUAUUUACUCCAAUUGUUCAAUUAACACGAUGAUUAAAUUUAUUUAUUUGUUUUUUUUAAAUAAAAUAGUUAGAGAAGUUUUUACUAAACUGACAUGAGCUUGUUCUUUCAACAUGCCAAAAAUUUGAAGUAUGAAGAUGUCAUUGAAGAAAGUACAAAGCAAGUUGAUGCAUAUUAGAUCUUAUAGCUUUCUUGGCGGUUGUUUAGGGAUGUUGUCAUUGUACAUAUGUUAUAAUUUUGUUUUCUCUCUUUUAGGAUUUGAUAGUGAAAAAGUCAUACAGUUUAGAUGUGUAUUCUAGUAAUGUGUUAUUUUAUUAUUCUUUCUAGUUGACAUAUUAAUUUUAUGUGAAUACGUGUGGUUAUUUAUUAUUUUUUCUGAUG
rnacentral:lncRNA from 1 species